GCGUCAGCCUCCCGAGUAGCUGGGACUGCAGGCGCCCGCCACCAUGCCUGGCUAAUUUUUUGUAUGUUUAGUAGAGACGGGGUUUCACCGUGUUAGCCAGGAUGGUCUCUAUCUCCUGACCUUGUGAUCUGCCUGCCUCGGCCUCCCGAAGUGCCGGGAUUACAAGCGUGAGCCACCAUUCCCGGCCCAAAGAGGAGAAGAAGUAUGAAGUGCUUGCUUGGACCUUUCUACUGUGCUUAUUAUUCUGUCUUCUCCUCAUGGCAAAUGCUUCCUGUCCUUGAACAUCAGACUUCAAGUUCUUCAGUUUUGGGACUUGGACUGGCCCCUUGCUCCUCAGCUUCCCAAUGGCCUACUGUGGGACCUUGUGAUCAUAUUUCUUUUUUAUUUUCAUUUAUUAAAUACAGAAGAAAUAUUUCGCUGAAGACACAGGAAACCCUAUUUUGUAUAAACGAGGGAUUGCAAGAGAUUGUUGGAAGAUCAAAGAUGGGUGAAUUGGAGCUCUUCCUGAGAACAAAAAGGAUUUAUGAAGGAAAAAGCAGCUAAUCAAAGAAGUUCUGAGUUUAAAUUCUGUUUUGUCCACUUACUAGCCAUUUGGCCUUGGGCAAGUCACUUUACUGGACCUCAGUUUCCUUGUAUGUGAAAGGUUUUGGUAAAAAUCAUAUUAGUUAAAGAAUGUAAAGAGUUUUAUAAAUUACAAAGUGAUUAAAAAAAGUAAAAUGUAUUGUUGUUUAGGAACAAUGAAAAAAAAAGAAACCUUGACAUUUUUUCUUCAAGUUCUUGCCUAAAAUGUUUAUUUGUUUGGCCCUUUUUAGAUUUAACAAAUUCUAUGUGUCUAAAUAUCAGUGUAGACCCCUUCUUACCCUACUGGAUUUAUAAGGUACUAAAAGUAGAUAUGCAUCUCUUCUGUCUUGGUUCGCUCUAAAAUGGGAUGUUUGCAAACCUCUUGGUUUUUCUUUUUUAAUAUGGAUGAAGCUUAUAUUAAUUUUUGGCUUGGUAUUAAAUUUUGUUUGGAAUAUUAUUAAUUGAGAAUGUUUUCUGUUUUUGUUUGU
rnacentral:lncRNA from 1 species